rnacentral:rRNA from 1 species
UACAGAGGGUGCGAGCGUUGUUCGGAAUUAUUGGGCGUAAAGGGCGCGUAGGCGGCGCCACAAGUCACCUGUGAAAACUCUGGGCUCAACCCAGAGCCUGCAGGCGAAACUGUGGUGCUGGAGUAUGGGAGAGGUGCGUGGAAUUCCCGGUGUAGCGGUGAAAUGCGUAGAUAUCUGGAGGAACACCGGUGGCGAAGGCGGCAUCCUGGACCGGCAUUGACGCUGAGUGAGCGAAAGCCAGGGGAGCAAACGGG